ACACGCUGCGGCAUGCCUAAUACAUGCAAGUCGAACGCUGAAGCACUCUGCUUGCAGAGUGCGGAUGAGUGGCGAACGGGUGAGUAACACGUGGGAAAUCUGCCUAUAAGUGGGGGAUAACAUUCGGAAACGGAUGCUAAUACCGCAUAUAUUCUUGGACCGCCUGGUCCUUGAAAGAAAGACGGCUUUGCUGUCGCUUAUAGAUGAUCCCGCGGCGUAUUAGUUAGUUGGUGGGGUAAAGGCCUACCAAGACAAUGAUACGUAGCCGACCUGAGAGGGUGAUCGGCCACACUGGGACUGAGACACGGCCCAGACUCCUACGGGAGGCAGCAGUAGGGAAUCUUCCACAAUGGGCGAAAGCCUGAUGGAGCAAUGCCGCGUGAAUGAAGAGGGUCUUCGGAUCGUAAAGUUCUGUUAUUAGAGAAGAACAAGUCAAGGAGUAACUGUCUUGACUUUGACGGUACCUAACCAGAAAGUCACGGCUAACUACGUG
rnacentral:rRNA from 1 species